rnacentral:rRNA from 1 species
AUGUUGACGCCGUUUUUUUUUGAAGAUGGAACGGGUGCAGCUGCGGCAAUUCUUCGAAACAACCGAGGAGAGGCACUUGCGGGAGCAUCCUGGUUGCUUCAUCAUCUCCUUGAUGCAACAACGGCGGAAGCAGUAGCUAUUCAGCGAGGACUAGAGUUGGUUGAAGGACUCGGCUGUCAUCAAGUCAUUGUUGAAUCUGACUCAUUGGAAGUUAUUCAAGCAUGCAAUGGCGUGAUUGAGAUUUGGAGCCCCUAUACUGCUAUUUUGGCUGAUUGUUUUCAAAAAGCAUACCGUAUUGGUGUGGUAUCCUUCACUCAUUGCCCUAGGGAGGCUAAUAGAUUGGCGCACAAUCUUGCUAGACAUAGUUUUAAUUUAAAUACUACUCUUGUUUGGGAUGGUGAUCCUUCCAGCUUUUUACUUUCGGACAUUGUGGAUGAUGUAACUUUGAUAUGA